rnacentral:rRNA from 1 species
AUGGGUACUAAAAGAAGAGAUUUUGAAAAACCAGUGCAAUUUCAGAAUUAUAAGAAUGAUGGCUCUAUAUUAAACCUAGCAGAUCAUGAUCCAAUAGAUUGGCCGAAUAUAAUCAGCAUAUGGAAAGGUUUAAUAGUACAAAAAUAUAUACAAAAUCAGUAUAAUAUAGGCACUAAGGUAGAAGAUAUGUUAACAUAUCUUGAAACAUUUUUAGGAGAACCUGUAAAAGUUCUAUGGGAACAAUGGUUCGAGUCAUACCCUAGUCAAUAUGAGGAAUUAAAAAGGGCAGGAAGUAACCCUAAUAACUUUGCGAAUGUUACCUCAAAUAUGAUCAUAGCAGAAGAUCCAGAAUUAGGACAUACCUCAUUACAAAAUGAGAGGUUAAGAGAAAUAGAAAAAUUAACAUUAACUAGCUGGAAAGGUAUAAAAGAAUUCUCCCAGCAUUAUUUGUAUAAUGCUACUACUGUUAAACAAGGUUUUAAUGUAGGUGUAGUAGAAAGAUAUUUUAAUAAGUUGCCCGAUCCUCUAGGUUCCAUAAUAUUUGAGGAGUAUAAAAAAGAAACAGGAGGAAAUGUGGUAAAAAUAUCCCAAGCCAUAACAUUUGUUUUCAAACAGCUAAGAAAGGUAUGUACUAGCAUUCAAGCCCAAAGAUCUAUGAAGAAAUCAGAUUACAAUUUUUGCAAUAACAUUGUCCAAAUACCACUAACAUAUGGAGAACAAAGGCAUAGGAAAAACAAAUAUUAUAAACCACAAAGGAGAGAUAAUAUAAAUUCUAGAACAAAGAAAAGAUUUUUACAACAAUCUUUACAAACCACAAUCAUACAUGAAGAAGGGGUAACAUUUAUCCCUUAUCAAGAUAAUGUUCCAUACAUAUCUGAAGUAAGAAAACAAAGAAAGUCCUUAGAAAGUGUAGAAAUAUCUAAUUUAGAUGAUGAAUAUGGCACAAGUCCAGAUCCCCUUGAAUUCUGUAAAGACGAAGAACUUAGUGAGACCAUAGAAGAAUAUCAUAUAGAAAAUACAUGUACAGAAUGCAUUGGGUUACAAUCAUUCUCUCCAAAUUGGUAUAGAGAUAUAAAAUCUAAAAAGGAUAUAGAUAAGAUUGUGCAAAGACUAGAAAGCAUACAAAUUAUUGGAGAAAUACCAAUGAAACAUUGGGAUAAGAACUCCAUAGUUUGCAAAAUAAAUAUCAUAAAUCCAGAUUAUAUAAUUAAGUCAGGACCAAUAGAAGCUACUCCAAAAGAUAUUGAACAGUUCAAAAUGCAUAUUGAAGAGUUAUUAAAGUUAAAAGCUAUAAGAGAAAGUAGAAGUCCUUAUCGAUCUGCUGCUUUUAUAGUUAGAAAUCAUGCUGAAGAAGUUAGAGGUCUAAAGAAUGCACCCGCACUAUUUCAAAGAAAAAUGCAAAAUAUAUUUAAUGAGAAUCAAGCAUUUAUAUUGGUAUAUGGUGAUGAUUUGUUAGUGUUCUCAAAAUCAUACAAAGAGCAUAUAGCCCAUCUUGAAGUGUUCUUUCGAAAGGUAGAACAAAAUGGACUCAUACUAUCCAAAAAGAAGAUGGAAUUUUGCAAAGAAAAAGUAAAUUUCCUUGGUCAUGAAAUAGGAGAAGGAAAGAUAUAUCUACAAGAACAUAUUGCAAAGAAAAUAUUAGAGUUUCCUGAUAAUAUGAGUGAUAAAAAGGUUUUACAGCAAUUUUUAGGAAUUGUAAACUAUGCGCAAACUAUAUAG